GAUGAACGCUGGCGGCGUGCCUAAUACAUGCAAGUCGAGCGAACGGACGAGAAGCUUGCUUCUCUGAUGUUAGCGGCGGACGGGUGAGUAACACGUGGAUAACCUACCUAUAAGACUGGGAUAACUUCGGGAAACCGGAGCUAAUACCGGAUAAUAUUUUGAACCGCAUGGUUCAAAAGUGAAAGACGGUCUUGCUGUCACUUAUAGAUGGAUCCGCGCUGCAUUAGCUAGUUGGUAAGGUAACGGCUUACCAAGGCAACGAUGCAUAGCCGACCUGAGAGGGUGAACGGCCACUCGGAAACGGACACCCGGCCCAGACCCCCGGGGGGGGCGGGAGGGGGAAAUUGUCCGAAAGGGGCAAAAGCCGAAGGGAGAAACCGCGGGGGAGAAAAGAGGGUCGUGGGAGUGAAAAACUCUUUUUUGGGGAAAAAACAUGUGUGUAAAUAACUGGGCAAAUUGUCGGGGUCCCAAAAAAAAAAGCCACGGCAAACUCCG
rnacentral:rRNA from 1 species